rnacentral:rRNA from 1 species
CGUAGCCGCGGUAAUACGUAGGGUGCAAGCGUUAAUCGGAAUUACUGGGCGUAAAGCGUGCGCAGGCGGUUUGUUAAGACAGAUGUGAAAUCCCCGGGCUCAACCUGGGAACUGCAUUUGUGACUGGCAAGCUAGAGUCUGGCAGAGGGGGGUGGAAUUCCGCGUGUAGCAGUGAAAUGCGUAGAUAUGCGGAGGAACACCGAUGGCGAAGGCAGCCCCCUGGGCCAACACUGACGCUCAUGCACGAAAGCGUGGGGAGCAAACAGGAUUAGAUACCCCGGUAGUCCCUGUCUCUUAUACC